rnacentral:rRNA from 1 species
GGAGGAAAAGAAACUAACAAGGAUUCCCCUAGUAGCGGCGAGCGAAGCGGGAAGAGCUCAAAUUUAUAAUCUGGCGCUUUCGGCGUCCGAGUUGUAAUCUCUAGAAGUGUUUUCCGCGUUGGACCGCACAUAAGUCUGUUGGAAUACAGCGGCACAGUGGUGAGACCCCCGUUCACGGUGCGGAUGCCCAAUGCUUUGUGAUACACUUUCGAAGAGUCGAGUUGUUUGGGAAUGCAGCUCAAAUUGGGUGGUAAAUUCCAUCUAAAGCUAAAUAUUGGCGAGAGACCGAUAGCGAACAAGUACCGUGAGGGAAAGAUGAAAAGCACUUUGGAAAGAGAGUUAACAGUACGUGAAAUUGUUGGAAGGGAAACGCUUGAAGUCAGACUUGCUAUUCGGGGCUUGCUCCGAGUUGCAGGCCAGCAUCAGUUUUUCGGGGCGGAAAAUCACGGAUUGAAGGUAGCAGUUUCGGCUGUGUUAUAGCUUUCCGUUGGAUACGUCCUGGGGGACUGAGGAACACAGUGUGCUUUAGCGAGGGCUUCGCUCUU